GAUGAACGCUGGCGGCGUGCCUAAUACAUGCAAGCCGAGCGAAUGGAUUAAGAGCUUGCUCUUAUGAAGUUAGCGGCGGACGGGUGAGUAACACGUGGGUAACCUGCCCAUAAGACUGGGAUAACUCCGGGAAACCGGGGCUAAUACCGGAUAACAUUUUGAACCGCGUGGUUCGAAAUUGAAAGGCGGCUUCGGCUGUCACUUAUGGAUGGACCCGCGUCGCAUUAGCUAGUUGGUGAGGUAACGGCUCACCAAGGCAACGAUGCGUAGCCGACCUGAGAGGGUGAUCGGCCAAACUGGGACUGAGACACGGCACAGACUCCUACGGUAGGCAGCAGUAGGGAAUCUUCCGCAAUGGGCGAAAGUCUGACGGAGCAACGCGGCGUGAGUGAUGAAGGCUUUCGGGUCGUAAAACUCUGUUGUUAGGGAAGAACAAGUGCUAGUUGAAUAAGCUGGCACCUUGACGGUACCUAACCAGAAAGCCACGGCUAACUACGUGCCAGCAGCCGCGGUAA
rnacentral:rRNA from 1 species